GUUUAAUUAGUUUAAUUAAAAUUAUAAAUUGUGGAUUUAUAGAUGAAUAUUCAUUAAACA
rnacentral:tRNA from 1 species